AUGAAGCAGAGAGGCAUCGCAGCCUUUCCCCCAAAACCUCGCAAGUUUAUCAGCAAGCCGCAGAAGCACUCCCGGUCUAAUUUAGGAAAGCCACUAGGUGUCCCUACUAACCUGCAGCAGAGCGGCGCUCCCAAGUCUUGCUGGAAGAUAAAAGCACGCCUCGUAAACCCGUCCAAAGAAAAUACAGCGCGACCAAAUCAGACAACUGUACUCGGCAGCAUCACCUGUCCAGCUGCGUGUCACCCCACCCCACCGUCCAUCACUUUUCCCUUGCAGCCUUUCAGGGAUGCAGUACCUGCAGGCAAGCAAAUCUUUGCAAGUUUGGAAAAGAAGAAAGAAAGGAAGAAAGAAAGGAAGAAAGAAAGGAAGAAAGAAAGGAAGAAAGAAAGGAAGAAAGAAAGGAAGAAAGAAAGGAAGAAAGAAAGGAAGAAAGGAAGAAAGGAAGAAAGGAAGAAAGGAAGAAAGGAAGAAAGGAAGAAAGGAAGAAAGGAAGAAAGGAAGAAAGGAAGAAAGNGAAAGAAAGAAAGAAAGAAAGAAAGAAAGAAAGAAAGAAAGAAAGAAAGAAAGAAAGAAAGAAAGAAAGAAAGAAAGAAAGAAAGAAAGAAAGAAGUUGGAGCCUCAUAGCAAGGCCACUGGCAUAUGCAGAAAGAUUUUACAGCUCAGGCUGGAAUUUAGGAAAUGCAGGUCCCCCAGCACUGUCCGCUUCUCACCACUUUCUUCCUCUGUGCAAUUGGUCUCUACACCCUCAGGUUGACUGUCUUUGCCCAGGUUCUCCACCAUAAAUGGUGCUGGUGGUCCUGGCAAGUGUUGUAACCUAAAUCUCACUAUUUCUGAACUGGAAGACUCUUGUUUUUUUCAACCAGUCAGUAAGAAAUCUAGUGCUGCUCUUGCUUUUGCUGCACAUAAUGCUGUAAGGCCUUUUUUAAGAACACGAACCACUUGGAUGUUUUUUAUCUUUAUACAUUUGAUCUGGUGAGGGUGUGAAAGCUGCACUGCAGCUAGAAGUGUUCUUAUGGGAAAAAUAAGAAAUGCAAUAUUUAUUGUUUGUUUCCACUGAAAAUAUAUCUCAUUGUUUCUCACCAUGUUGUCAUCGGCAUAUCAGAGUCAGAGUGGGCAGGGGUUCAAAAGAGUGAGAAACAAAUCCAUGGAAGGGGUUUAUCAUCCUCAGACACCACGGCCAAUCACAUACAAUGUUUCCUCAUCCAGUUUUUACUAAAACCACUAGAACUUAUACACUGGCCCCAGCUCCUAAUAUGUCUUUGCUGGGGACCAUAAACCUGGUGGCUUCAGAGUCUCACAGAGAAGUCUGCUUGUGUUGAUAAGCAAUUAUCACUGGAAUAAAGGGAGAGAAGAUAAAGUCUUGGUCUAUCAGACAGAACAGCAGUACCAUUCUCCUCCAAUGUUAUCAGUAUUUCAGGAUAGUUACUUCUGAGGAGCAAACACAUGGGAAGCUAGAUUGCAUGAACAUAUUUAUCCAACAUAAUAAGAAGUCUAAAUGUAAAUUAAAGCACAUCUACAAAAAUGGAAUCCAUUAUCACAUUUUCAUGAACUUUAAUUAAAAAAUUGCUUUGGACUUUCUGAAAGCUGAGUCUAACUCCAAAUUUUAAAAUGAAGCUGGAGCAAAAACACUCUGAGCACAUGGAACAAAGAGUUAACAAAAAAGACGGGCAGAGAAAAAAGGAUGUUAAAACAAAAAAUAAUCUAUGUGCAUGAAGAAAAGUAUUCAUACAGAAUAUUCACAAUGAUAUAUUUUAUACAGCUCAUAUUUAGAAAAUAAGAGCUAGUAAGUUUACAGAAUUGCAUAUAGAGAUUUGGAUUAUAUAAAAGCUGUGUCAAACAGUACAAAUCCUCAACUCAGCAAGAUUUUUAAGAUUAAAUUUCAGUCUAGUAAACAUAUAGUUAAUAUAGGAGAGGUUGAUGUGCUGAUAUUAGUGCACAUUCACUUUCUUGAUAUUUAUAAUACUUCCCUUUCCCAUGUGUAUCUCAGUGAUUUCUCCACUGAGAUGUUACAGUGGAGGCUAUAUGAUAUACAACCACACUAUGUCUCAAACCUCUGGUUCUUAAAAAUGAAAAAGUCUAAGCCCAAUUAUAGACACCAAUCUUGCCACCAAAUAAACUGAAAAAACAAACAAACAAACAACAAAACCAACCAACCAUCAACAACAAAAAGCAACACAAAAAACAGCCAAAACUCAGAACCCAAAAUAUUUUCCCAUAGGUGACUUCAAUUAGUUUCGGGAGUUCUGGAAAGUUGCUCUGCUAACAUACUGUACUUCCUCUCUUAAGUAAAAACAUUAAACAUAAUCAUAUUUUCAGAGAACCAUAGAAUGGUUUGGGUUGGAAGGGACCUUAAAGAUCAUCCAGUUCCAGCCCCCUGCCAUGGGCAGGGACACCUCCCACCAGCCCAGGUUGCCCAAAGCCCCAUCCAGCCUCAACUUGAGCACCUCCAGGAAUGGGGCAUCUACAGUUCCUCUGGGCAACCUGUUCCAGUGCCUCAUCACCCUGUGAGUAAAGAAUUUAGGCACCAACUGUCACCUCCUGCCACCUGCUGUGAUAGAUGGAUCCAGUGUUCUGUUAAAAGGGGUGGUCAAGACAUGCAGAGUCUAUAUCCACCAGUUUGCAUUUACUGUUACAGUACAGAAGUGUAGGAUUUCACUCUAGCCAACUUCUCUUCCUGCAAGAAUAUUAUGCUUAGAAAAAUGAUUACACCUUUGAUUGCAGUUAAUGAUUUGGUAUAAUCUAGCUAAACACUUGUUCUCGAGAUGUACUGCCAGAAAAUCUGCUGCUCAGGAGCAUUUUCUUGUAAGCAAGGUCAGCAGAAUUGAACCACCACAAGCAUGUGUAGGGACAUAUGAGCAUGGUAAGCAAGUGUCCCAGCAUCCAACCUCACCACGGCUAACACACGUGAUAGCCUUAGAUUUACUGCCAUGCCAUUUAACACAAAUCUGUUUCUGUAUGACUUCAUUAUUUCAGUCUGGUUUUGCACUCCAUGAAUCAUAAAAUUAAGUCCAGAUAAGGUAUUAUAUGCAAUAUAUAGAAACACCUAAUUCAUCAGCUGUAGGCUCUCAUCUAUUCCAAUACUUCUACAAAUGUUUGUUUUGAGUUUUGCAAAAUUUGGCAAUUUUUGCUUAGGUAAGAGUCUUGAGUCUAACUGUAGGAUACCACAAAACCAUUUUUCCUUUCUGCUAACAGAGUCUGUCCCAUGCCAUCUUUAGAUAAGAGAAAAUCAUGAAGCUGCAAUUACCCACUGGGUAACUGAGAGACUGUGAAGAUGGCCUUUCAGGUCCCCAAAAUGAAAAAUCAGGAAUGUGUUCAGCGUGGUAUUUGAAAUCUCAGAUGCAGUGAGCAGUCAAUAUGAGAACCAAGCUUGAGCCACCCCAGACCAGUCCUCCUGGCAUCAACACACGGAGCUGAGACAAGAGUGCCACACUCAAGAAGGAGAUAUUUGUAAAAGAUGGCAGAAGAUGGUGUCAGUCAUGGUUCCCUGCCAUGCAGUCGUGUCUUAGCAGGCUCUGUGCACAACACUGCCUACUCAAACUUUUCGUUAUAAUCUCACUUACUCUCUAUCAAUUUUUACUAGGCCUGACAACAGCUUAAUGUAAUAAUACUUUAAUGCUUGCUUCCUAUCCCUCCACUCACACUCUCACAUGUCUUUUGUGCCGGUCUGCAAGUAAGAGAUGCUGCUGGUAUUUUUCUCAGGCUGCAGACACAGGGCUGGAAGCAUCUGCAUAUGCUGAUUAUGGAUACAAGGGACGUCUCAUGUGAAGUGAUGGAGACCCACUGCACCCCACAGAACCAUGCUGUUUACACUAGCUAAGAAGCCUACUCCUCUGCUAUUUGCUAUCACAACGAAAGGACAUUAAACCAGAAUGCUCUGUUUUCUGAGAGAAAUGAUUUUAUCUUGCAGGGAUUCAGAAGUCCGAAGAAAACACCAUCCUAUUACUGUGUUUUAACUUUACACAGUAAAGGCUCAUCCAAUUUACAGAUGGUAUCUCAGUAUCUUUGUAACCAAUAUAUUCAUGUCAGCAAUCAGAUCCAUGAAUAUUUUUUGCAUUUAAUAGGUAUAAUUUCCAUGAAUCACUAAUGGAAUCAGUAGGAGGACAUAAUAUGUAUUCAAAAAAAUGAGGUGGUGCCCUUCAGAAUCCUGGAGGGAUUUCAUCAGCACAAAACAGCCUGCUUCUUUACUCUACAAAGCCAGGGGUUUUCUACCAAUUAGGAAUUUAACGGCAAUUUGUAAUGCAGCUCUGGGAGGCCACACUGGAUUUCUGUUUCAUGUUUCAUGCUUUGUGAGCAAUAUUUAAAACAACAACAAAAAAAAUCAACUAUUUUAGCAAAUCUGAAACUUGGAUGCCUGGAAAAAGUGUGGUUUCUUAGCCUGAUAAGCAUUAGUCAGUUUUGCUAAUACAGCCAUUUCACCCCUCUCCUCUUCCUCCAGUUUAAUACAAGGUAAAUAGGUGAGAAAGCUGAGGUCCUGCAUUUGCUCUAGAGGUAAGUAAUUUGAAAGGGAACUGAUUGCUGUGUCUAUAUCUGUACCCAGGAAGUCUCUGGGCUAGAGCUGGCUUGCAAGAGAAUCUCACUGCUUGCUUCUCAGACUUUUUUGUUGUUGUUGUUUGCUUUUUUUUCAGACAAUUUCAAGAAAGAAAUAUGUCGAAGCAAGCAACAGUUUUUCCCAUAGUAUUGACUCAAGCUUUGCAUGUUGUUCUGAGGCAUUUUUCUUGCCACAUUACAAAGAGCUCCACAUGUUAUCCACCUCUCAUAUCGUACAGCUAAUGGCUGGCCUCCCUUCCCUAGUGCUUGGCACAAAGGCUGAGCUCACAAGCCACCUGAGGCACAUACACGCUCUUUGACAGUCUCAUUCCUUCCACCCAGAGUUUCCUUGCAUGCAGCUGUUAUUCAAAAUGCUCGGAUACUUUUCCAAAUCACUCUCUUUUCAGCGCAGCAGGGGGUACCAGCAACUGUUUUUCAGUUAGAUAGGCAUUUCUGUGAACCUGUCCCCUGUGCUUGCUUGUGUAUACCAAGUUCCUUUUUCACCACUUUUAAUGAAAGUGCCAGGAAACCACAUGCAUUUUCUUUACAAAUCAGUAAGUAAGGCAAACCUGAAACCAUGCAAAACUUAACAUGGCAGACUGGUGAGCAUCCUCUGCCUGCACAGAAUACACAAAGAGCACAAAGUCAACAGAAGGGAAAGAGAAACUGCAAAUGAAGGAGUUGAUUUAUUUCAAAAAAAAAUAAGUACCCAGUCAUGUUUGAACUAAGUCCUCAGAGUGUUCCUAAUGUUCUGGGAAAAGAAAG
ensembl:lncRNA